CAUAGUGCACGCCGUCCCAUUGUCUCUGUCUCUUCUCUUGGCCUUGGUUGACUCCAAACCUGUCUCCUCUUUCUCCAUGCAGGGAAAUGGAAAACGGGUUCCACACGCCAUGGCCAAAGCAGCUCCUUGCUUCCCUCCGCCAUUGCUGAUGUCAGUAACUAUCCUGCACCGUUCCCUGGCCGAGCACUCGAGUUCGCAGCGUCACAUUGAUGCUCACCCUGUAUGCAUCCCCCUUCAACUGACUGCCAUAAUUGCUAUCUCAAGAGGCAAAGAAUGGUCAUCUAAUCAUCAGUCAAAAGAAAGCAUUGAUGCAGAUAUUGGAGAUGUUUUGAAGAAACCAUGGUUGUCAUUUCCUCUUGGAUUGAAGCCCCCUUCAAUGGAUAGUGUGUUGGUGGAACUACACAAGAGCCCAUUCUCAUCCAAGACUUCAACACUCUGUGGCUCCUCCAUACCAGAAACAGAGUGCUCAAGAAGUUGGUGGAUCCAUGACAUUUAAAGAUCCUCUGCAUCUUUGGAACUGCAGCAGGAAAUAUUUUAUCAUGGAAGAGUGGUAUCACCACAAACCAAAAGCUGAUGGGAUUCUGGCAUUGACAUCUUUGGCUUCAUUGGUCCUGUGUCAGGCAUGGAUUUGAGAUCAUGAUCAUUUCGUUUGUCAUUUGUCUUUGUGGAAUAUACUAACACAAUUACACAGCAGCAACUGCUUCAACCAAAAGGUAGAAGUUUAGGGUUUGGGUGACAUGAUUGAGUCAUUUCUGAGUUUUCCAUUUCCAGGUGAUGCUGCAGCUCACUACUGAUUCGGAAAAGCCACUGUGGAGAGAGACCCCAUGGAAUAAUUGCACUGAGAAGUGACGAGAAUGAACAGCAUGAGAUCCUUGCUCAUCUGCAACACUCAUCCUUCGGUGUCUGAGAACAGAUCAAGACUUGACAGGGAAACAUCAAGCACAGAUCCACAUCCAAGACACUUUGGAAGCUGCCAGACGGAUGAGCUUGGACGUUUGAUCCCCAAAAAGGUCUAAUCAUUUCUAUCUUGCAGCUUCUUCUGAGAAGAAAUGAGAGUUGGGAUAAGAAUCACGGGCAUCGAUGGAUCCACCACUUGUGUGAACAACGUGAUGACCACUAGCCUUGGUUUCUUCAGGUCGGAUGUAAUAUUUCUGGGGAAGUUAAUUUGGAGGGAUACUUCCUGUUGUUUGCAGUAAUUUUCUGGUCCAUGCAGCACCUGCAAAUGUCAGAGAAAAGAUGAAAGCUGGUUUCUCUAGACACGAGCAUCUCUUCAGUAUCUAAGAAAAAGUGAGUCUCAUGUGAGCUUGAUAUUAUCAUCAUCUUCUUCAACCAUGAGAAAAGGUAUGCAUACUGACUGAAGCACGAGGAAGAAUAGCUCUCUGUGUCAACAGACACGAAAACAAGUUCAUCCAUCAGUUCCCUUUCUUGUAUGAAUUCACUUUCAUUUCUCUAUAACAUACAGACACUGCCUUAUCUCCGACAGGUGAGCUUAU